rnacentral:rRNA from 1 species
GACGAACGCUGGCGGCGUGCUUAACACAUGCAAGUCGAACGGAAAGGCCCAUAUGGUGGUUCUCGUGCGGCCAACGGGUGAGUAACACGUGAGUAACCUGCCCUUGACUUCGGGAUAACUUCAGGCAACUGGGGACAAUACCGGAUAGGGAUCCUUGCUGCAUGGCGGGGGUUGGAAAGCUUCGGCGGUUUUGGAUGGGCUCGCGGCUUAUCGGCUUGUUGGUGGGGUGGUGGCUUACCAAGGCUUUGACGGGUAGCCGGCCAGAGAGGGCGACCGGCCGCACUGGGACUGAGAGACGGCAGAGGUGCCGACGGGAGGCAACUGUGGGGAAGCUUGCACAAUGGGCGGAAGGCGGAUGCAGCAGGGCUGCGGGUGGGAUAACGGCCUUCGGGUGGAAGACCGCUGUAAGCAGGGGCGAAGCUUGUAUUGACGGUACCUGCAGAAGAAGCACCGGCUAACUACGUG